GAUGAACGCUGGCGGCGUGCUUAACACAUGCAAGUUGAACGGUGAAGCAGGAGCUUGCUCUUGUGGAUCAGUGGCGAACGGGUGAGUAACACGUGAGCAACCUGCCCCUGACUCUGGGAUAAGCGCUGGAAACGGCGUCUAAUACUGGAUAUGUGACGUGACCGCAUGGUCUGCAUCUGGAAAGAAUUUCGGUUGGGGAUGGGCUCGCGGCCUAUCAGCUUGUUGGUGAGGUAAUGGCUCACCAAGGCGUCGCCGGGUAGCCGGCCUGAGAGGGUGACCGGCCACACUGGGACUGAGACACGGCCCAGACUCCUACGGGAGGCAGCAGUGGGGAAUAUUGCACAAUGGGCGGAAGCCUGAUGCAGCAACGCCGCGUGAGGGAUGACGGCCUUCGGGUUGUAAACCUCUUUUAGCAGGGAAGAAGCGAAAGUGACGGUACCUGCAGAAAAAGCACCGGCUAACUACGUGCCAGCCGCCGCCGUAA
rnacentral:rRNA from 1 species